rnacentral:tRNA from 1 species
UGGUUCAGUGGUAGAAUCCUUGUCUAACACACAGGAGACCUGGGUUUAAUUCUCAG